GCAACAGUUACUGUCAUCGAUCUAACCUGAAUGGACUGUAUCUGAAUGGAUCGCACAAGUCAUUUGCAGAUAGUAUUGAGUGGUACAGUUGGAAAGGUUACAACUAUUCCCUCAAGAAGACACAAAUGAUGAUUCGACGUCGCCGUUAACAUGAUAGUAUAUGUAAUAACUGAUGAUACUGAUUGUCAUUAGACGUAGAAACAAAUGAUGCUAAUUGUGACUUGGGAUAUAUAACAACAGGAAGACACAUUUGCUCUCGUUUACAGCAUGCAAAACAUAGAUUCAGAACACUUAUUUCAAUCAAUAACAUUUUGCAUUUCUAGACUGCAAAUACACUGUGCAUUAUAUAUUUUGAGACAUCUUAUCAACUUUUAAUAUUCAAUAAAGUGUGG
rnacentral:lncRNA from 1 species